rnacentral:rRNA from 1 species
UACGGGGGGAGCAAGCGUUGUUCGGAUUUACUGGGCGUAAAGCGCGUGUAGGCGGUCUGAAUAGUCUGCUGUGAAAGCGCCUGGCUUAACCGGGCGAGGUCGGCGGAAACUCUCAGACUGGAGGCCGGUAGAGGGGGGUGGAAUUCCCGGUGUAGUGGUGAAAUGCGUAGAGAUCGGGAGGAACACCUGUGGCGAAGGCGGCCCCCUGGGCCGCGCCUGACGCUGAGACGCGAAGGCUAGGGGAGCGAACGGG